rnacentral:rRNA from 1 species
UACGUAGGUGGCAAGCGUUGUCCGGAAUUACUGGGUGUAAAGGGCGUGUAGGCGGGGAAACAAGUCAGAUGUGAAAUACCGUGGCUUAACUGCGGGGGUGCAUCUGAAACUGUUUUUCUUGAGUGUCGGAGAGGAAAGUGGAAUUCCCAGUGUAGCGGUGAAAUGCGUAGAGAUUGGGAGGAACACCAGUGGCGAAGGCGGCUUUCUGGACGAUAACUGACGCUGAGGCGCGAAAGCGUGGGUAGCAAACAGG